GGAAACACUUAAUUUCUGGGAGUCUGCUCCACCAGAUUUGUACAAUGGGCCAACAACAGGCUUCUCAGAUUGAGAAAGCAUAUUUGAUGCAAAUGUUUGAGGAAGGUGGAACUUGCAAGAAGAUAGAAGCUGAAUUGAGUUGGAGUGCAGUAAAUCACGAUUCUUCUCAAGAAAUCCAGUUGUAUCAUAAGUUACCUCCCCUGCAUAAUGGCUUACUGUAAAAGCCUUGCCUCGUUCCCCUCUGAAACAAAGAUUAGAAUUUAGAUGCUGCUUGAGUUUAUUGGCAAAUGAUAUGUCAGUGCCAUUAGGAAAGGUGGACUCCUCGUCUAACA
rnacentral:misc_RNA from 1 species